CAAAAAAAAUGAACGAAAUAAGCAGUCGUGUUGUAGACGAGUUCGCGAGCGUGUGUCAGUAGAAAUCCGCGUAUUCGAUAUCUUUUUAAUUAAUUACAUAUUCUCUCGUCUCUCUCGUAUAUAUUACAUGGGCAAGAGAAAGAAGCACUGCCAGUGAAAGAGAGACAGCCAUCCAAAGAGGCUUCGGUAAUUCAACUGGAUGAACAACGAGCUUAAAAGCUGACUCAGUCAUCCAACCAAGCAGACAGACGUGCGUGUACAUGUAUAUACAGAUACAUGGAAAGAGACACAGAUAUACCGUACGAAUACAAAGGAAAUUCGUAUACAGGUGUGAACCACAGGAACACACAGAGUCAAGCAGGACACGUUUGCACGAGCGAUUGUGAAUUUCCACGAGACGGUUUGUCCUUUGAGCCUUGCUGCGUUGGCCGGCAAAGGGAAGAUGAAGGAGCUCGUAAUUUUCCGAGCUCCGCGUUUCAGCUCGCGCGGCUAUUUUCUGCGGUUCACGCGUAUUAUGCAACCGACCCGGCUUGAACUGGCACGAGCUUACACGCCUCGCGUGCUUCCACUGUAUUCUCUGUUUCGAUUCUGUGUGUGAGUUUGCGCGAGUAUGCGUGAGAGAGAGUGAGAGAUCGCGCAUUCAAGAACCACUGAUGAACGCGUGCAUAUUCAACGCGCGACUCAAAGGGUGCUUUCGCAUUCCGUUACAUGUGCCCGGGAUGUAUCAAGAAUUUGGUGGAACUGAAACACCGAGGAACGGAGCAACGGAGAACUAUACGCGGAAAUUGCUGCGGGCACGUAACAAAAUUUGUCAGGAGAUGAGAUUUUCAGCGAAGGCAGUUAUGUACGCCGUAAGAAUGAAUGGCCGACCGGUGGAAAACGAGUUCUCGCGGUGCUAACAAUAAGAGCCCGUCCGUUUUCCUGAUGAAAGGGAUUUCCAACAGUCCAUACAGACGGAUCCUCAUAAACGGAAUGCUAUUACGGAGCAAUAAUCGAAUACGUUAUCGGUAAAGCAGAAAAAAAUACUUGGCCAAUAGAUAUAUUCAAAAUUGUUGAGGUUGAGGUUGACUGAUUGAAGAUCGAGUGGAAGUAUAAUGUAUAAGUAUAAUUUUAUACUGAUUCAGAUCCUUACUCUCUUAGAGCUACAAUACAAUGGAAUCGAUAGGGAGCACAUUCAUAUAUUUAUAGCAAAAGGACAUUACCAAAAAAAUUAACCUUAUAGCUUUAGCUAGAGGUUACAAGGAGCAUAAAUAGACAUCUGUUUAUUAGUUCCUUUGUUCCUAGACCUUGCAACCCAAAACAUAGUAUAUAUUGAAAGGUACAAUAACACGCACCUCUCCUUAUUUAGAAUAUUUCUGCGUA